AGCAGCCGCGGUAAUUCCAGCUCCAAUAGCGUAUAUUAAAGUUGUUGCAGUUAAAAAGCUCGUAGUUGAAUUUCGGGAUCAAGUUGUCGGUCGUGCCUCGGUACGCACUGGUGACAUUGGUUUCUCCUUCUGAAGAACCUUGAUGUCAUUAAUUUGGUGUCUUGGGGAAUCAGGACUGUUACUUUGAAAAAUUGAGUGUUUAAAGCAGGCUCACGCUUGAAUACAUUAGCAUGGAAUAAUGAAAUAGGACGUUUGAUUCUAUUUUGUUGGUUUCUAGGAUCGACGUAAUGAUUAAUAGGGAUAGUUGGGGGCAUUAGUAUUCAAUUGUCAGAGUGAAAUUCUUGGAUUUAUUGAAGACUAACUAC
rnacentral:rRNA from 1 species